rnacentral:tRNA from 1 species
UAGAGCAGAGGACUGAAAAUCCUCGUGUCCGGAGUUCAAAUCUCCGUCCUGGCA